GAUGAAGAACGCAGCGAAAUACGAUAAGUAAUGUGAAUUGCAGAAUUCAGUGAAUCAUCGAAUCUUUGAACGCACAUUGCGCCCCCUGGUAUUCCGGGGGGCAUGCCUGUUCGAGCGUCAUUUCACCACUCAAGCCUCGCUUGGUAUUGGGCAACGCGGUCCGCCGCGUGCCUCAAAUCGACCGGCUGGGUCUUCUGUCCCCUAAGCGUUGUGGAAACUAUUCGCUAAAGGGUGUUCGGGAGGCUACGCCGUAAAACAACCCCAUUUCUAAGGUUGACCUCGGAUCAGGUAGGGAUACCCGCUGAACUUAAGCAUAUCAAUAAGCGGAGGA
rnacentral:misc_RNA from 1 species